rnacentral:tRNA from 1 species
GUUCCUGUAGUGUAGUGGUUAUUACGUGCGCCUCACACGCACAAGGKCGCCGGUUCGAACCCGGCCAGAAACA